AGUCUGACUUUGUAAUCUCCGCAGGAAAACUUAUCUAAAAUUUCAUUUAACAAUUAUGCUUUUAAGCUUAUUUGAUGAUGAAAAAUUAAACAUAUUUUAAAUUUCUUUGAAAUUUAAGCAUGUAUGUUAUUGAGCAGACAUAGAUGUUUAAAUAUUUGUUGCUUGUUUAGAGCUGUGUGAAAAAAAAUAUUAGUUUACAUUUGAGUAUUUGGCUCAUAUGAUUUAAGCAAGCUUGUAUAGAUUUUCUCUGUGAAGGUACUUUCUGUGGUUAGUUUCAAAUUCGAGGUAAGUUGUUCUUAUAUGCUUUGCAUGAAGUUGGAAAAAGAUUAAAUAUAUAAAAUGAAGAUUUUUGAUUUAUUUUUGUUGUAUGAGUGCUACGAUGUCCUGAGCUUGGGGUCUAUUGGAAAUAACUUUCUAAUAUUUUUGAAGUAGUGGUAUCGGUUGUAUUUAAUUUUUUUUUAAGGUCCAAUGUAUGAAAUUACACUCUGUAGAUUGAGUUUUUGUUGGUAUGAUUUCAUCGAUAUCGAUACCUUUUAUCGUUUCUCUGUGUAUAAAAAAUAAAAACUAUAAAACUCUUUAAUUCUCUUAAGUGUUAGUUUUGAAUUUUUUUUUUUAUUAAGAGAUGUUUUUUUAAUUGCAUUUCUUAAUAUUACAAAGUAAUUACAGUUCAAAUUUCUGGGAUGUUGGAUAAGAGAGAGAAUGACUGUUGAUUUUGGAUUUUUGAAUUUUUAUUUUUAACCUUUCCUGUAAUUGUUAUUUUCUCUUUUCUUUUACAUUUACUUUUAGAAAUUGAUUAUUUGGUUCACACAAAGAUAUUGUUUCGUGGACUACUAUUUUAAGUAAAAUCUGGUAGUAUGAGGUUUAUCCUUUUAACUUUAGUAUCAUUGUUGCUAAUGAGAUGUUGAUCAGAAUUAUAUAAUUAUAAUUUUGCUUUGUGUUUAGCAUACGAAAAUUCACAGUUCAACUUUAACAAUUUAGCUCUCACUAGAUUAACUAAACAAUCAGGAAUGUUUAUUAUGUUAAGGUAGUGGUAGCAUUCAAUUGAUAUAAUGACCUAUUAUUCUCUAAUUCUUUGUCAUCUCAAAUCAAAUACCUAUGGAAAAUGUAGGUUAUGAUUGUGGUUGUGGCAGUGCCCCUAACGUAAGUUUGGUCCUUCAGUUCUUGCUUCUCUUUAGAUUUCCUGGUUGUUAAACACAAACCUGAGUGUGGUUGUAAGAGGCAUAUGUAUUCCUGGAGAUCUCUAAGAGUUUGAUUAGUUUGUCCUUAUAUAUAUUCUUCAUCAGCUUGGGUUACACAACUGAUAUCUGAAGUAGUCUCUGCUCGUCUUAUAGGAUUGCAUAUUCUAAAUAUUUCAUCUAUUUUACGGUUUGAGUCUGAGAUGUUGUUCGUUGAAAAUGUGUUAACAAAUUCUAAAUUUCACUUAGUACUCUACCAUCAGUUGCUUGUCAGUGCUUCAUAGAUCCUCGUAAUUUUGUUCCAUAGAUUCGGAGUCUGCAGAUGGUACUGGUGUUAACAAUAGGGUGUUUUCUUAUCAAAGAUAUGAUAUACAACAAGACGCCCGGUGGAUUGAGUAAAUUAUUCUGUUCUCUUUACUUUUGUUGAUUGUUUUCAUCCGACAACAUUUGCAAGGUAUUCAGCUUCCCUUUGUGGUAAGCAAGAGAUUUUAACUUGAAACUGUUUUUGACAAUUUUCUAUGCAAAUUACUGAAAUUUUAAGUACCCAAUAUGUUUGUGAUGUAGCUAAGAUGGAUCUCAUAUUCACCUUGUUUCCUGCAUAGAACAAUAACAAUAUACCCAUUAUAUUCCUACAAAGUGGGGACUUCUUGCAUCAUAUAGAUUUUUGAAUGUUGAUUUUCUUCAAUAACUCAAUUCCAGAGGAUUUCCAUUGUAGUCUACUUAAGUGUGUCUAAGUAAUUGAUACUUCCUUCUUUAAAAUGGCUUAUCGUCUAUCUUGAAUCUUACUUAAAACCUUCUAUGUAAUGUACACGUGAAGGAGAUAUUGCCUUUCUAUCCAUCCAACUAUAAAUAAUAUGCAGUGAUUUCUUUGUUGGAUCUUGCACAAUAGCAACAUGGAGGGCAGUUACCUAUUUCGACAAUAAAUGCAGUAUGUUGACAUUGUUCAGAUUGAUUCUUACUUCACAUUAUUACAAAAUUUAUGAGAUACCUCCAUCUUAACCAUUAUUGCAGCAGAAGCUUCUUUCAGUUCUGAGUGACUUUGGCAAAGGAUCUUCAAUGGUUGAUAACAUAUCUACAGUGAGGAGAUGUGGUGUUGAAUUGUUCAAUACAAUUUCAGUUUCAUCUGAUGAUGAAGCUCUUUAAAAAGCCAUUAAACAAGUUGAUAUGGCAGAGAAAAUAUAUAAGCAAGAUGCAAAAAUACAUGUUUGUGAUGAAAAAAGAUGAAUUUCCAUCACACUCACUCGUAUCUGAAAAGGCAGGCGGGGGACUCUCUAUCCUGAAGAUAAUAUUUUUUUUAUUCAACAAAGCCUUCUUUCAUAGAUAAUCAGUAGUAUUCCUCUCGCUAGCUAUUCUGAGUAAGAGGGGAAGGACUUGAUGUGACUACUAUUAGACCUCCAACCCCGAGAGACUCUACAAUCAUUAUGAGCGAAUAACCCAGAUCCUAUCAGACAUUUGUCAAAUGCGUUGCUAAAAUCUGGUUGGACGCAUCGCCGAUUCAGAAAGAAACAUCAAUUUUUUUAUCCGACCUUUCACUUUAAUUUGUUGUUAUGAUUGUUGUGGUUUCAAAUGCUGUGAAGCACUUUUGUAAUUUUUAAGAAUAAAAAAAAAUAUAAGAGUUGAUUUAUGUGGCUUUAGAAGAAGGAAAGAAAGCUACUCCCCUUUUAUUUUUUUCUUUUUAUAAGAAAUAAUAAAGUUUUUUGUUGAUUUUUAGAGAAAAGUACUUUGAGCCUUUUUUUGGGGGAGGGGAGGGGGGAGAAAAUAAUUAAAUACAUUGUGUAGAGUAUUAUAUGUGUACAUUUUAUUUAAAUGGGCCCUUUCAUUAAUUCUUUUUGUGUGGUUGUUGUUUGGUCCUAACAUGUAGUAUCAGUAUAAAUUGUAGUACAUAUAUAUAUAUAUAUAUAUAUAGGGUGUUUACUGUUGCACUAUAAUUGUUUUAUUAAAAGAAAAAUGGAGAAUCAAGUAGUGUAAAAUAUUAUGUCUUUAAUUUUUUUUAUAUGAGGGUAUAUAUUAGAUUUGAUGUAAUUCUUGUCUUAAAUAGUUCCUAAUUUUUCAUAAACAGAUUGUGAUUUCUAUAAUAAAUUACGACGUAAGUUGUCGCAUUGAAUGACAUAAUCAUUCUUAUUGUUUUUUGGUUCCUAUUUCAGAAAUGGUUGAACAGGGACAAACUCGAAUCACUCCAAAUGAGAGUUCAGUAUAACGAGCAAAGAAAUAAAGUGGAAGAGCACGUCGUCGAAGAACAUACUUUCGAGGUCAUGAGAUCAUACAAAAUAGUGUUCCUAGAGGGACACAAAAUCUGUUACGGAAUGAAAGGGCUAUGCGAAGGGAAAGAGAGAAGAAACUCAAACAAUUCAAGUCUUUUAAGAUGAUCCCUAACAUUAGUGUUGCUAGUUUUAUACACCUGUUUGAAAUGAAACGUGUAGAACUAAAAAAACUAUGUAGUAAUCUCAGAUUGAGAAGCAUUAGAUAUUUUAGCAAAUUUUCUCUGUGACUCUUAGGGCGAGAGAUUAAUUGAUGUUAACCACGAGAUUUGGCCUAGCGAGCCUUUUUGGGUGUACAUAAGUCGUCUAGAAUGUUUGUGGAAUGACUUUUAUUUUUAGAUUGACUUGUAACAUGAAGUUACUUAUUAACUUGAUAUAUUAUAUAUAUUAAGUUGUUUA